rnacentral:lncRNA from 1 species
UUGAAUGCAGCCUUAAACAUACGUAGAAAUGUCCAUGCUCAUUUAUAAGGAUACCACUGUCCCUAGUUCCCAGUUUUUCAGCAAAAGCCGAGAACACUCUGGUGCUCUCCUUCAUCACCACUUAGAAACAUUCACUCUUUCCUACCCCACUGACCCUUGCAUCUCUCUCUCUCUCCCCCAUUGAGAAUAAAGUCACCAAGUGCCUUCAAGGGUUGGAAGUUUGAUUUUAUGCAUGUAGUUCUUCCAAC